GUGCAGAUGAUGAAAAUGAUGUUGGUAGGGACAUCUGAAACAUGGUGAUGAAUGCCAACAUUUCUGAUCUGCAU